CUAUUUUUUUUUCCUCACCCAACUUGAAGAAAAACAUAGUGUUGCUUUGUUGUGUCAAUACAAAUUGAGGCUGUGGUGGAGACGACAUCGGCAUUUUAGAGUUCUUGACGUAGGAAAUAAUGGAGUAUUAUCUUUUAAUUUUUGGGGGGCAUGUCAUCAUCCAUAGAUGAUCUUCAGCCAUGUCACUGGCUAACUACUAAGGUACCUUCUAUUCUAGAUUUACAUAUUUCUCUGAUUCUGUCCCUAAUUGGUAUGUGCAGGGGCGGACCUAGUAUGGUUCAAGUGAGUUCAUAUGAACCCACUUCGUCGAAAAAUUAUACCGUAUAUAUCUGUAUAUAUAAUCAGUCCAACAGUAUAUAUUUAAAUUUGAACCCACUUCAAACUAAAUAAGUUGCCAGCCCAGUGGAAGCGGGUUCAAAUUUGGAUGCCCGCGUCGCGAGUUCAAACCUGGAUUGUAGCAGUCAUUUUAUAAAAUUUUUAGGCAAUCCUUUGAACAAGUUAAGCUGCUAGCCUAGUGGCAGCGGGUCCAAAUUCGAAAGCUCAGGUCGCAAGUGAACCUGGAUUGCAGCACUUUAACUUUUAAGCAGUCCUUUUUAUAUAUUGAACCCACUUGGUGAUAAGUUAGUCCGCCUCUGGGUAUGUGCAUGCAUGCUUUUAUCUUUGGUAACGGGGAAGUUCAAAGAUGGAAUGCAGAAUUUUUAACAAAUUGUUAUUGUUUGUUGUAACUUCAUCAGUUAUAUCAGCUAUAAGUUGCUUGUGUAUUAUCAAAUGCUUUUUAUUUUUUAAUUUGUAAAACUUUAAUUAAGAUACAAAAAAUAUGUUGAGAAGAAAAUUGUUUUUAAUUUAGCGAUCAACACGUUUGACGAAAUUCCUCAGUGAAAACAAGACUUGUUUGUCGCCGAGAGAAAUUAGUCCCAAAAGUUGGUCAUUUUGAAAGAUGUUACAGCCUAAUAAAAUUGAAGUAUGGGGUUUUCGUUCGCUUACUGUAAUUAUGUGCUUUUUGUCUAAAUGUUUUGUCCCACUGUGGAGAAAGGGCUACCAGUUAAGUGUUUUUAGAAUUAUCUAACUUUUUUUGCUCUUUUUCAUUGUAUUUCAUUGACUUGCAUGUGUAAUUCCACAACAGCAUUACUACUAUGUGUCUAACUUUUUGUUCGACAAGAAGAACAAGAUUUAACUUAAAGCUUUUCAAAAUCAGUAAGAUAAUUUUCCGGUAUAAUAUUAGUAGUUUUCCAACAACAACAACAAAAAAAGGAUAAAUUUUUGAAUGUUUGAGACUCCUGCUUCAAGUUGAUUUUUCCUGUGAGAUUUUUCAACUUCUAGGUGCUUUUUAGAGGAAGAAUUGGUGAAAGUUUUUUGAUGUUGUAGUGAAAUUAGUAACGGCAUUUAAGCUUAAAACUCAACAUAAGUUUUCACUGUCAUCUUUUUAUUAUUUGUAUCACAUUUCGAGGUAGUUAUCAGAGCUCUUUUAACUGAGAGCUACUGCUUUCGGAACAGUCUUUUGAUUUGUAGAUGGUGCAGGCAUUGGUACUCUCUCGAAUUCAACAGGUUUAGGGACAUCGGGAGGGCUAGCACAAAGUAUUAGUGCCGAAUUAACCCCUUCAAAGAAUGGGUGUUGUUUUAUCUCAGUUCCCCCUCUUUUGUAUCACAAUCUAUUCUGUGAUUCUUUUAUGAGUAAAUUCCUAAUCAGAUCCCUUACUGCAAAACUAACAACUGGUGAUUCUGGAAAUCUAAGAGGUUGUUCGACUACAUUGAAUGAUGUAGCUCGAUUACCAGAUCCUUUAAAUGGGGUGUUACCAAACAAGAGCUCAUAAAGAAAGAUCCCAAAAGUCCACCAAUCUACUGCACUUCCAUGACCUUCACCUUUGAUAAUCUCUGGUGCCAAGUAUUCAUGAGUUCCCACAAAUGACAUAGAGCGAGCACUUGUUGGUUCUGCCAUGAGUUCUGGUAAUGGAGUAACUUUGUUACCUAUGUCAUUUUUGGGUUUCCGAUCCUUCUUGGACUUACUGGGAAAUAGGCGGAGAGAUAGCAUAUCGUAGAAACGACACAUGAUGGUUGAAUGCAGGAAGGUUCAAUGCAUGCGGGAUGGACACAGUAACCAGAGUUCUUCCUGAGAGGCUCAGACUCUAGGGGAGAUGUCUCGACCAGCGUUGGGCUAAAAGAACAACAAAGUGACAGGUCAAAGUCCAAAAGCCUUAUAUGUCCAUCUUCUAACUCUAAUCAUAUUACGAGAAGAUUUUCCAAACAGAAGCAAUGUUUUUUCUAUGGAAUUACACAUUAAUUUAUGUUAUAACAUAUUAUACCUUUGUCAGCUAUUUUUAGAUUAAGUCAAUGGAUGGAUGCGUGGCUAUUUAUAUUAUUUCUUCUUAACUUAAUAAUGAAUUGUAAGACUUAUUUUAUGCGGGAACAGAAACUUCAGGAACAACAAUAAUAUGGGCCAUGACAGAAAUAAUGUGGAAUCCAGAAACUAAAUAAGUAUGCUUGUGUGGUAUGGUGGCUCACACUCAACUGAAUAAGUAUGCUUGUGUGGUAUGUUGGCUCACACUCAGGUAUUAAAUCUGAAUGUCAUCCCUCAGAGAUCGUUUACGUUGGAGAUACUGAUAACAAGAGGUGCUAUAAGAAUUUAGUAUGUUCUGGAUAGAUUCACUUCUUAAAGUUUCAUAAGCUCAGUUAGGAGACUUGCAUGUUAUUUUCUUUUGCUAAGCAAUAAAUUUGUGUUACUUUUUAAUUCACAAAUACUGAUAAUCUAUACAGUAAGUUGAUCUUAUAGGACUGGAGAAUGUCAACGAGACAACGAGGUAUCACCAACAAGACAGUUAGGUUGCGGCCGUGAUGGAUAUUUUGGUUGAAGGAUAUUACUGAGUACUAGAGGCCAGGUUAAAGUGGAGAGAACCUAAUAGCAAAAUAUGUAUUUGUAGUUCAUAUAUUUAUAAUGCUUGAAGUAUAAGUGGUCUUAUAUACUUAUAGCUAGUGCACAUAUUAUACAUAUUUCUUCGUGUUUUGCUUAUUAUUGACUCUUUACACUUAGGUACAAAUUAAUAUUUGGUUUCAUCUAUAUUUACCUCGUGAAAGGUUGGGUAACUUUGCUCCCGCUAUUAUCCAGGAACUCGAGAGAAGUCUUUUUGUGGAUCAGUUGGAAAUGAUUUUUUUGGAGUUUUAUGCCCGUUACAAUUAGCUUUAUUUUGGUUGUUUUACUUCCUUUAGGUUCAUCAGAUCUUUCUCAAUAGCUGGAGUGAUAUCUUAUUGUACGCUGCUUCAUCUUUUGAGUCAUGUGCCAAUUUAAACCUUUUAUACAUAGCUUCUCGGCAUCAUCAACCCCUCUCAUCAUUGCUCCUGACUCUCAUGAAGUUACGUCCAUUGCAGAAAUGACCUCACAAACUUCAGUUGGAGUUUUCAACGUUGAGACGGCAAUGUCAGUAUCAGAUGCUGCAAACGAAAAAAAUGCUCAACAGAUAGAAAGCCAUUUGAUUGUCCAAACUGUAAGCAGCUUCUAUGGACAGUUAUUGCGUUGAAGGUGUAGUAUGCGUAAAGUGACAUUUUGAGGUGGCCCUUUGGUUUGAUUUUUUGCGUAAAGUAUAUUUUGUUUUGAACUUAAGUCACCUCCUACGGCGAUAAAUUUAGUAGAUCAAUUUAGGAGGUCCUAAUGACUAUAAAUCUACGCUGCGACGUGUUGAGUGUUUUGCCUGCUUAAUGUGCAUCUUUAGUGUCAUUAAUAAGGUUCAAAUGCAUUCUUUUCCUCAACAAUGAAGCACUAAACAAUUGAUAUUCCAUUUAUUGCAAUUCUUUUUCAAUUAUCAGUCUUGAACUAUACAUAUAUUUGUACUUCUUUCCCUUUGCACCUUCUUCGUUAUAACCCACACUUUAUUUGCGCUUUGUGCUUAAAGCCUCAAAGGACCUUAGAGAUUUUUUCUUUCGAUAACACUGGACGAUGGAAGUACUUGGGGUGAAUUACUGUUCCUAGGCUUGAUGCAGACAACACAUUUUCAUUUGGCUGAAAUUUUAAUGUCACAUUAAUUAUCAUCUUCUUUUUAUAAAUCCUUUUUUAGUGGAGGGAGCUUUACUUAUGACUUAGCUAAAGAGAAAAUCUAACUGAAGAGCAUUCUGUAUGGGUUGUUUUCAUUCUAAAUAUGAAACAGUUUUCACAUAGACAUCAUUUAGUGUUGAGCAUUUUAAUCUAUGUUUGAACCCUUUUUCUCUUCCAAGUUUUUUGCUUGAUAGAAAUCUGGAGCUGGAAGCAGGUUUUGGCAUGAAACUUGUACUACUAAUGUUUUAGGGAAAUAGAAGACGUCCCUCAAAGUCGUAUUAACACAAAAUAAGUCGAUUCCUACAUUUUUCAAUUCCCACAAGCUUUUAGCUACUCAGAGGAAGAGGUAGAUAGACUGUUCAUGAUUGACUUGGGGGAAUCAUAUAGUCCACUCCAUUUACACCACAGGGAUAUGGAAAGAAGCCUAGACCAAAGGACGCUGACUUAUGAAAAGAGCUUAUGAGAAGGCAGCGUCUGGGACUUCUUUCAAAAGGUGGUCGAUUUAGUUAAGGAGUUUGAGAUACAAAACUAAGGAUGAGCAGUUGUGUGCUACAAUUUUGAAAUAUAAGUUUUGGCUCAGUUCUAUAGCAUUUUUGAAACAUGUGGUGUUCAGUGAUGGUAUUAUGAUAAUCCGGUAGAGAUUGAAGUAGCUAGGAAUUCGUCUAGCCUACUUGACCUACCAAUAAGUCAAGUUUUAUGAGGUUGAAUGAUCAGUACAGACAGUUCAUGGAGGAAUUCUUUUCUAUUGGUCUUCCUUGACCAAAUUGACUAAGAACAAUAUGGUAUUCUAGUAGCUUGAUGAGUGUGAGAUAAGAUUUGAAAAGCUCAAUAUUUUAUUGUCUAAGACUCUUAUUCUAGCCUUGUAUGUGUAAGGUAAAUGCUUCAUAGUGGAUUUUGAUGCUUUAUGGAGUGGCCUUUGAUAUGUUGUGAUGUAGAAGGUUAAGGUUAUUACUUAUGCUUUGACACAAUUAAAAGUUCACAUGAAGAACUUUCUCAUUCAUGACUUAGACUUGACAACAAUAGUAUUUUCUUAGAAGAUUUUAAGGAAUUAUCUGUAUAGGUUCAUUAUGAGUUUCUCAGUAAUGAUUGCAACGAAGAGUUUUGAGACAACGAAGUUGGUUGAAUUUGCUUAAGAACUUUGACAUGACUACUCUUUAUCACUCGGACAAGGCUAAUGCAGUGGUGGAUGUCUUGAGUAAAAAAUAGUGAAUAUGGUAGUCUUAAUCUAUUACUAGUGGAGGAGUGGCCUUUGACUAUGUAUGUUCAGACCUUGGCUAAUAGCUUCAUGAGACUUAAUAUUUUUGAAACCUAGUAGAGUUCUUGCAUACAUUAAGGCACAAUCACUUUUAGUGGAGCAAAUUAAAGCUAGAAAGUUUGAAGAUAGGAAACUAUGUUUGAUUCGGAAUAAUGUGUUGAGUGACGAAGCUAAUGAAACAAUUCUAGACUAGGAAAGAUUUUUGAGGAUCAAGUAUCAAAUUUAUAUUCAUUAAAUUGAUGAUUUAAAUAGAGUGAUCAAGGAGGAAGCCCACAAUUUAAUGUAUUCUAUUUAUUUUGGAGCUACAAAUAUGUAUUGACUUGAAAUAAUAUUAUUAGCGGUGUGGAAUAAAGAGAGACAACAUGGAGUUUGUGUCCAAGUAUUUACAUUGCGAAUAGGUAGGGUAUGAUCACUAGAGACCGGGUGGCAUGACUCUGAAGAUGCAUAUAGCUGAGUGAAAAUGGGAGCAUAUUGCCAUGGAUUUUUAUGGUUAACUUGUCUCAGGCUUUGAGGAAGUUUGAUGGUAUUUGGGAUAUAUGGACAGGUUGACCAAAUCCGCUCAGUUUGCAUUGGUUUAAAUAACAUUCAGAGAGGUAGACUAAGAUUUACAUCUAUGUGGUUGAUCAUUUAUAUGAAGUUCCUAUUUCUAUUAUUUUAAACCGUGGUACCCAGUUUACGUCAUACUUUUUAUCACGACCCAAGACAACACCCUAGUCGUAACACGGUGCUUGAAACCACAAGUGAUCCCAAUCUAAACCAUGAACUGGCAUACUGUUGAGCAACUGAUUUAAUAUGUAAAACAAAACUUAAUUUGCUGAGUGGAAGCAUAAUCAUGAAAAGUCUGAAUAAAUGUAAUACUGAUACAGUUUACAUCAUGAUACAACUGAAGAAAGAACUCAAAUUGCAUGACUGACUCUGACUGGCAUCUAUGAAGCCUCUACUAUACUGAAUAUAGAUAGCUGGGACAUGCCUCCAACUACCACUAAUCAAUACACAUAGAAAACCAAAAAAAUAUAGUACAUGAUUUAUAACUAUCUGGAGUUCUCGAAAUAGGAGAACUUAUCACCUGCUGGCUGAAAGCUACAAACUGUUUGACACUGGUGUAAGAGCUACAUAUGGUACCUACAUUAUGAAGGAUGUAUCCACAAACGCAUAUAUAUGGUUAGUACGCUGGAAUGUACUGAGUAUAUGGAGAUAUACUGUAAAAUUGAGGAUAUAAGUUAUUUGCUGAAAUAUACAUUUGAAACACGACUAUACUUAAAAACUGUAAAUCAUAGAGAAUUUUAUAAAUCAUGAGCUGAAAAUAAUUUUGUAAGCUAAGACGCGGUAGAAACAUAUAUGCUGUAAGCCAUUCUCUUAUGGGGCUGAUUAUGCUGAAUAUGCUGUAGAAGCUAUACUGAGGAUGACAUAUGAAUACUGCGUCUGAAACUAUGUGGUAGGAUCUGACAUAACUCAUGGAUCUGAAUAUACAAAUAUACUGAGCAUGAACAAAUAAACAUUCAAAACCAACAUAACAUUUGCUAAGUAGAUUUGAUUAACUGAGUGACUGAUGUUUAUGUGACCGAACAACUGAAAUUUAAGUAAAGGGAUAACUAACAUCGGUAUGCUGAGUAGUGGAUAUAUGAAUAUUGAUCAUGUAAAAUUGAACUGUACUUAGUCUGGAUAACUGGACUAAAAUUAUGGGGUACUAUGCAUAUGAGAUAAGGACUAACAGAACAACAUGAGAUAACUGAGCAUGAAUUCAUGAAAACUACAAUA